rnacentral:rRNA from 1 species
AUACGGAGGGUGCAAGCGUUGUCCGGAUUUAUUGGGUUUAAAGGGUGCGUAGGUGGCGUGUUAAGUCAGUGGUGAAAGCCUGCAGCUCAACUGUAGAGGUGCCAUUGAUACUGACAUGCUUGAGUAUGGAUGAGGUAGGCGGAAUUUGUGGUGUAGCGGUGAAAUGCAUAGAUACCACAAAGAAGACCGAUAGCGAAGGCAGCUUACUGGACCAUAACUGACACUGAGGCACGAAAGUGUGGGUAGCGAACAGGAUUAGAAACCCUAGUAGUCC